rnacentral:rRNA from 1 species
AUUGAACGCUGGCGGCAGGCCUAACACAUGCAAGUCGAGCGAGCGGCGGACGGGUGAGUAAUGUAUGGGGACUGCCCGAUAGAGGGGUAUAACUACUGGACACGGUGGCUACUACCUCAUACUAUCCGAUAACCCAUAUGGGAUUAGCUAGUAGGUGGGGUAAAGGCUCACCUAGGCGACGAUCCCUAGCUGGUCUGAGAGGAUGAUCAGCCACACUGGGACUGAGACACGGUGCAGACUCCUACGGAGGCAGCAGUGGGGAAUAUUGCACAAUGGGCGCAAGCCUGAUGCAGCCAUGCCGCGUGUAUGAAGAAGGCCUUCGGGUUGUAAAGUACUUUCAGUCGGGAGGCGUUACCGACAGAAGAAGCACCGGCUAACUCCGUGCCAGCAGCCGCGGUAAUAC